CCUACGGGUGGCAGCAGUGGGGAAUAUUGCGCAAUGGGCGAAAGCCUGACGCAGCGACGCCGCGUGAGGGAUGAAGGUCUUCGGAUCGUAAAACCCUGUCAGCAGGGAAGAACGGUCACUGUGCUAAUCAGCAGUGAAUUGACGGUACCUGCAAAGGAAGCACCGGCUAACUCCGUGCCAGCAGCCGCGGUAAUACGGAGGGUGCGAGCGUUAAUCGGAAUUACUGGGCGUAAAGCGCUCGUAGGCGGUAUGUCAAGUCAAGGGUGAAAUCCCCGCGCUCAACGUGGGAACUGCCUUUGAAACUGGCAAUCUUGAGUUGGGGAGAGGAUAGUGGAAUGCCAGGUGUAGGAGUGAAAUCCGUAGAUAUCUGGAGGAACAGCAGUGGCGAAGGCGACUAUCUGGCACAUAACUGACGCUGAGGAGCGAAAGCGUGGGUAGCAAACAGGAUUAGAUACCCUUGUAGUC
rnacentral:rRNA from 1 species